rnacentral:lncRNA from 1 species
CUUGUACUAUCUAAGGGACUUAGGGCAAAAUAUUUCUAAAUACUAUUUCUGGAUAUGCCAUAUAUAAAGAAAUCUAGGCACUCAUUAAUAGGGGAUAGAUAUCCAGACCCUAAAAACCCACCCUAAACGGUAGCUUUACUAUUCCAUUAAGAUCAAAAUUCUAAAGGGAGAACAGUUUGAGUAAUUUUUGGCAACCUCUAAUUUUGUUAAAUCAAAAUAUGGAUUAAACUGGAGUUUUGUGUUACUACUAUCAUUGGUUGUCGAGUUAUAAUUUUAUUUUCUCUUGAUGUUCUUCUGUUGAUACCAUCUUCCUCACUUGGUUCUUGUUCUAUAACCAGGUAUUUCUUUUGAUCUUUGAGUGGCUAUUGGAGUGCAAGCGUGUUCUUCUUUAAGAGUUAUAUCUGUAAUAUGGAGUUGAUCUGAAAAUGUUAAUGGGAGUUGAUAUUCAAAUGAUUAAACUUCAGUUUCAUUUUACAUUUGAUUCUUUCAAGUUGUUUAGUGUUUUGUAAUCUUUUUAGUUUUUUUUUUUUAGUAUUUUCUGAUCUGCCUGAUAGUCAAGAGUAUUAGUUGGGAAUUUCACACAUGAAUGUUUAAUUUAGUCCACCUUUAAUGUAUUGUUCAUAAUAGCUCCAUUUGAAUGUUCGUUAGAGGAUAUUGGUUAGUAUCUCACACAUGUUUGAAAGAUGCAUCAUGUGGUUGAUUGAAUGCCUUCAGUUUAAUGGUCUUAGAUUUCAACAGUGCUAAAUAAAUCAUGUAUUUGACAUCAAUAUGAUUGAUGAGUAGUAUAAGGCAUGUUUAAAGAUUAUGACUCGUUAUUAAAGGCAUGUCAAUAAAUUAGAAGUUUAUCAUAUGAUUAUUCGUGCUUGUUUAAUUUCCAAAAAUUUUAUAUACUUCUUUUUAUUAUUAUUUGUGAAUUGGAAGAGGUAUGAGUUUCAGCUAUGGCCUUAUCACUAAGAGCCUUCUUGUUAAUAAUAUGUGCGCUUGAUAUUGGCCUCAUAAGUCGGCAAGUCCGUCAAAAGGCUUAGAGUGACCAGAUCUGGUCCUCACUUGUUUUGGGAUCAAUUUCGAGCUCAAUAGUGUUUGGCCUUGAUUUGUUUUCUCUAAUAAAGUUCUGCCUUAAGUUAAUAAAGAAAGAGUUCGAAUGAAGAGUUUUGUAAGGCUGUUGGGCUCGAUCUUAGGCCCAAAACAUAAGAUAGCCAUGGCACAUUCUAGUCUGGCAAGGUCUUUGAAGAUAUGUUCUUUUUUGUCUCAUUUUAGAGCCUGGACAGUUGCAAUACCUAAUUUCCUUAAUCAAAUUCUCAAGUUUGGCAUACCGUUGGCCCACUAACAUAAUUAAAGGCCUUGUGUAUUACCCUAAGCAUGUAUAUAAUUAGUAGCCUUAUUGAUACAUCAAAUUAGUUUUAAAUAUGAACCUCUUUAGUAUGCUUUAGUUUAGGACAAUCCUUUAAAAGUAAUUUGAGGUGUUCCAUAUACAAACAAAAUCCAUAACAUAUGUCCCUUGCAUUAAUGCAAAACUAAUGCUUUGAACUUUUGUAUCUUGCUUUAGACGCC